UACGUAGGGUGCAAGCGUUAAUCGGAAUUACUGGGCGUAAAGCGUGCGUAGGCGGUGAUGUAAGACAGGUGUGAAAUCCCCGGGCUUAACCUGGGAACUGCAUUUGUGACUGCAUCGCUGGAGUGCGGCAGAGGGGGGUAGAAUUCCACGUGUAGCAGUGAAAUGCGUAGAGAUGUGGAGGAAUACCGAUGGCGAAGGCAGCCCCCUGGGAUAACACUGACGCUCAUGCACGAAAGCGUGGGGAGCAAACAGG
rnacentral:rRNA from 1 species